UGGGGAAUUUUGGACAAUGGGCGAAAGCCUGAUCCAGCAAUGCCGCGUGUGUGAAGAAGGCCUUCGGGUUGUAAAGCACUUUUGUCCGGAAAGAAAUCCUUGGCUCUAAUACAGUCGGGGGAUGACGGUACCGGAAGAAUAAGCACCGGCUAACUACGUGCCAGCAGCCGCGGUAAUACGUAGGGUGCAAGCGUUAAUCGGAAUUACUGGGCGUAAAGCGUGCGCAGGCGGUUUGCUAAGACCGAUGUGAAAUCCCCGGGCUCAACCUGGGAACUGCAUUGGUGACUGGCAGGCUAGAGUAUGGCAGAGGGGGGUUAGAAUUCCACGUGUAGCAGUGAAAUGCGUAGAGAUGUGGAGGAAUACCGAUGGCGAAGGCAGCCCCCUGGGCCAAUACUGACGCUCAUGCACGAAAGCGUGGGGAGCAAACAGGAUUAGAUACCCUGGUAGUCCACGCCCUAAACGAUGUCAACUAGUUGUUGGGGAUUCAUUUCCUAGUAACGUAGCUAACGCGUGAAGUUGACCGCCUGGGGAGUACGGUCGCAAGAUUAAAACUCAAAGGAAUUGACGGGGUCAUAGCUGUUUCCU
rnacentral:rRNA from 1 species